GGUGUCCUGGGAGUAUCACUCCUAAUUUAGACAGUGGACAGCAACAUGCACUUCCUGUACAUUUAACUCAAACCCUAUGGAGGUGGCACCACGAUGGGGACACCUGGAUGGAUGUAGUGAAGGAACACAAUACAGUUAGAAUCCCUCACUUGCUGUGUGUUUCUGUUUCCCCAGGUAGGAGGAACUCCCCGAGGUCAGGAAGCAGUGUCUAUUCAUUUGUCGUAUGGAAUCACCACACCCUUCAGUGAUGGCCAUGCUUUCCUUGUCGCCUUCUUUGAGAUUGAGUGGGCCCCACAGAACGGCGUUCCCAGAAGCCUUGGUGACUGCUCAGAUCCCAGCUGCUUUACCUGCCAGCAUCCUGAAACUCAGUAAGAUCAGAGUCCAGACCUCGUAAGAUGUUGAGACUUCACCUACCGCUGCCCCACCCAGGCUGAUGAAGCAUCAAUCCAAGAUGAAGGGGCCCAUCCCUGAGUCUGUGCAAAAUCAGUGCCAAGUGAUCCACGGCCAUUUCAAAGCUGUCUCUGAAGCCCACACGCCUCCCACUUCUAAGCCGGUAAGGAUCCAGGUGCUGCCUCUCAGGAGCAGGAGUUGGAAAACAUAAAAGGAGAAGGUGGCCUCAAACAGCUCCCCUGUUGUAUCCAUCUCCCACCCACCCUGCGCCCAGGACCUCAGAAAGAUUCAGGAAAAACUUCCAUGAAAGUACCACUUCUUACCUAUCUUAACCCGAGCUCCUGGCUUUAUCUUUAUUUCAAUCUAUUAUCCUGCUCCUGGACAUCCCCUCUCCUUUUCCUUCUCUCUUCCACUCCCCGUUCCCUGCCUCUCCUCUGCUCCCCACUCCCUCUCCCGGUCUACCUGUCCCCUCUCUUCCUCCACUCACUUGCCGAUUUUCUCUUGAUCUCUCACUGCAUCCCUUGCUCUCUGUCCCCACUCCUUUGACCCCUCUGGGCAUCUCUGAGUCCUACUAAUGCUCUGCCUCCCCGACAAAAAGCACAGAUGAGCUCACACUCACACCUUCACACAAAUGCUUUCUUUCCUAGGUCUCUCUUCUCUGGCUUUGUCACUCUGGACUUUGCUUCCGGCUUCAAGUUUCUAGGUGUAAUAUGUGAAGAUUAAUGGCAAUGAAGCAAACGUGCAUAAGAAAAUCCACGCAGCAAAGGCAAUUCCGUUAUUCUCAAGUCCAUAGAUGCCCAGUGUGACAUUGUGAACUGGAGAAAAAGGAGCACUUCCUGUUCAGGAAAUCUUGUAAAAUCAUAAAUGUCAGGACUCAGUCAACAAUACCCCAAAAUGAAGGCCUCAGAAGCAUCCUCAGAGGAAAAAUUUAUUUCUCUGAUCUUCUCUUGCCCUCCUGUCUCUUAGCGCCAUUCUCCCCUGAGGCUAGACACAGACACUAGAAUCCCUCUGCCCCAGGGCAGGGCAUGGAAGCCAGAAGCCUUUUUCCCCAAAGCCAGCCAUAAAACUUAAAGAUGUCACUCUAACUUUCCCUCUGCCUUUCUGUGUGAAAACUGGCCAUAAAGAAACUAUCUGCCCUACCUUGUUUGACUGAAGGUCAUAAGACCCUCAUUCCAGAGAGGGUCCUGCCUCAUACUCAGAAGGAAGGAAUGCACGUUCAGCAAGGCCAAGAAGAAUCUAAACAGACAGGCCUUGCUGAGUUUCCCCACUCAGCCGAUUGACAUUGGAUCAUGCCCUUUUCGUCUAAUCCUAUAUCUACACGGCUGUCCAUACUUUGUUGAACAUAAGCAUAAAAAUGGUCAGUUUCCUCUGUAUCUUUGGGUCAUUCUGAAGGUUCUCAUGUACACAUUAAUAAAAUUUAUACCCAUUUUCUCCAAUUAACCUGCCUUUUGUGAGUUGAUUUUUCAGCAAACCUUCAGAAAAUGAAGAGGCUUUCCCUUUGCCCCUCCAGUAACAAAAUGGUAUCUCAUUCUCUAAAUACAAUUAUUUCUAUAAAAUGCCUUUUCUAGGCUGGGUGUGGUGGCUCACGCCUGUAAUUCCAGCACUUUGGGAGGCCGAGGCGGGGGGAGGUGGUGGGUGGAUCACUUGAGGCCAGCAGUUCAAGUCCAGUCUGGACAACAUGGUGAAACCUCGUCUCUACUAAAAAUACAAAAAUUAGCCGGGCGUGGUGGUGUGCACCUGUAGACCCAGCUACUCGAGAGGCUGAGGCAGGAGAAUCACUUGAACCUGGGAGGCAGAGGUUGCAGUGAGCCGAGAUCGCACCACUGCACUCCAGCCUGGGCAACAGAGCAAGACUCGGUCUCAAAAAAUAAAAUAAAAUAAAAUAAAAUAAAAUAAAAUAAAAUAAAAUAAAAUAAAAUAAAAUAAAA
rnacentral:lncRNA from 1 species